GAUGAACGCUGGCGGCGUGCCUAAUACAUGCAAGUCGAGCGAACGGACGAGAAGCUUGCUUCUCUGAUGUUAGCGGCGGACGGGUGAGUAACACGUGGAUAACCUACCUAUAAGACUGGGAUAACUUCGGGAAACCGGAGCUAAUACCGGAUAAUAUUUUGAACCGCAUGGUUCAAAAGUGAAAGACGGUCUUGCUGUCACUUAUAGAUGGAUCCGCGCUGCAUUAGCUAGUUGGUAAGGUAACGGCUUACCAAGGCAACGAUGCAUAGCCGACCUGAGAGGGUGAUCGGCCACACUGGAACUGAGACACGGUCCAGACUCCUACGGGAGGCAGCAGUAGGGAAUCUUCCGCAAUGGGCGAAAGCCUGACGGAGCAACGCCGCGUGAGUGAUGAAGGUCUUCGGAUCGUAAAACUCUGUUAUUAGGGAAGAACAUAUGUGUAAGUAACUGUGCACAUCUUGACGGUACCUAAUCAGAAAGCCACGGCUAACUACGUGCCAGCAGCCGCGGUAAUACGUAGGUGGCAAGCGUUAUCCGGAAUUAUUGGGCGUAAAGCGUGCGUAGGCGGUUUUUUAAGUCUGAUGUGAAAGCCCACGGCUCAACCGUGGAGGGUCAUUGGAAACUGGAAAACUUGAGUGCAGAAGAGGAAAGUGGAAUUCCAUGUGUAGCGGUGAAAUGCGCAGAGAUAUGGAGGAACACCAGUGGCGAAGGCGACUUUCUGGUCUGUAACUGACGCUGAUGUGCGAAAGCGUGGGGAUCAAACAGGAUUAGAUACCCUGGUAGUCCACGCCGUAAACGAUGAGUGCUAAGUGUUAGGGGGUUUCCGCCCCUUAGUGCUGCAGCUAACGCAUUAAGCACUCCGCCUGGGGAGUACGACCGCAAGGUUGAAACUCAAAGGAAUUGACGGGGACCCGCACAAGCGGUGGAGCAUGUGGUUCAAUUCGAAGCAACGCGAAGAACCUUACCAAAUCUUGACAUCCUUUGACAACUCUAGAGAUAGAGCUUUCCCCUUCGGGGGACAAAGUGACAGGUGGUGCAUGGUUGUCGUCAGCUCGUGUCGUGAGAUGUUGGGUUAAGUCCCGCAACGAGCGCAACCCUUAAGCUUAGUUGCCAUCAUUAAGUUGGGCACUCUAAGUUGACUGCCGGUGACAAACCGGAGGAAGGUGGGGAUGACGUCAAAUCAUCAUGCCCCUUAUGAUUUGGGCUACACACGUGCUACAAUGGACAAUACAAAGGGCAGCGAAACCGCGAGGUCAAGCAAAUCCCAUAAAGUUGUUCUCAGUUCGGAUUGUAGUCUGCAACUCGACUACAUGAAGCUGGAAUCGCUAGUAAUCGUAGAUCAGCAUGCUACGGUGAAUACGUUCCCGGGUCU
rnacentral:rRNA from 1 species